AACGAACGCUGGCGGCAGGCCUAACACAUGCAAGUCGAACGAAGUCUUCGGACUUAGUGGCGGACGGGUGAGUAACACGUGGGAACGUGCCUUUAGGUUCGGAAUAACUCAGGGAAACUUGUGCUAAUACCGAAUGUGCCCUUCGGGGGAAAGAUUUAUCGCCUUUAGAGCGGCCUGCGUCUGAUUAGCUAGUUGGUGAGGUAAAGGCUCACCAAGGCUACGAUCAGUAGCUGGUCUGAGAGGAUGACCAGCCACAUUGGGACUGAGACACGGCCCAAACUCCUACGGGAGGCAGCAGUGGGGAAUCUUGCGCAAUGGGCGAAAGCCUGACGCAGCCAUGCCGCGUGGAUGAUGAAGGUCUUAGGAUUGUAAAAUCCUUUCACCGGUGAAGAUAAUGACUGUAGCCGGAGAAGAAGCCCCGGCUAACUUCGUGCCAGCAGCCGCGGUAACAC
rnacentral:rRNA from 1 species